rnacentral:rRNA from 1 species
UGAGGUUACCUAGUGGCGGACGGGUGAGUAACGCGUGGGUAACCUGCCUUACACAGGGGGAUAACACCUGGAAACAGGUGCUAAUACCGCAUAAGCGCACAGGGCCGCAUGGCCCGGUGUGAAAAACUCCGGUGGUGUAAGAUGGACCCGCGUCUGAUUAGCUUGUUGGCGGGGUAGGGGCCCACCAAGGCGACGAUCAGUAGCCGGCCUGAGAGGGUGGACGGCCACAUUGGGACUGAGACACGGCCCAAACUCCUACGGGAGGCAGCAG